GUGAAUGAAAGAAACUUGCCUUUCUUGAUUUAAACUUCUUCAUUGGAGAAGAAAAAACAGUUUUUCCAGAAGUGAAACAUGCUUCAGCAUGGAGAAGAAAAAACAGUUUUUCCAGAAGUGAAACAUGCUUCAGCAUUGUUUCUUUAUGAUAUAGGGGUAACAGAAAAUGAAUGAAAGAGGAUAAUAAAUAAAGAUGCUGAAGCUGGCAUCUGAAAUAUACCUUUUUCUAAUUGCUAUUUUCUCU
rnacentral:lncRNA from 1 species